rnacentral:rRNA from 1 species
GUUCGGAUUGAAGGCUGAAAUUCGCCUUCAUGAAGCCGGAAUUGCUAGUAAUGGCAGGUCAGCAUACUGCCGUGAAUACGUUCCCGGGCCUUGUACACACCGCCCGUCACACCAUGAGAGUUGGGAAUACCCGAAGCCUGUGAGCUAACGUUAAGAGGCAGCAGUCGAAGGUAGAAUCAAUGAUUGGGGUGAAGUCGUAACAAGGUACC